GCUCAGCUGUUUGUGGAGCGCAGGCAUCACUGUACAGAAUCCCGGCAUGUAAAUAGACAUGUAAAUACAGGGGGCUGGGUUUGUGCUCUACCUGUGUAAUGUUACCUGCUGUAAAUGCUUGAAAUGCUAAAUAACAGAACGCAUUUUUUCCUCUUCACAUUUUCUGAAUUCGUGAUUAUUCUGCGGGCCAGACUAAACACUUUGGCGGGCCGGAUGUGGCCCGCGGGCCACCAGUUGACGUUGGCUGAUCUAUAAAAUGACUUUUUGCAUA